GGGCAGAUGGCCGAGUGGUCCAAGGCGCCAGCUUCAGGUGCUGGUCUCGCAAGAGGCGUGGGUUCGAACCCCACUCUGCUCA